GCAUGGGUUUGGAUUUAUGGCAGGUCCGAUCCCAUGGGCCUCUCAUUGUGUCCCAUGCCAAAGCAAAUUGUAACCCCGAACCACUGCCUGGCUUUACCCCCAUGGACUUCAGGCACUGAAGCGGGUUACACAGUG
ensembl:snoRNA